rnacentral:sRNA from 1 species
CAAAACAGGCAAGGAAGUUCAUUCCUGCUUAUCUCGCGGUCAAGUCUUGGGAGGAUUAGAUCUUAGGCGCGUUUAUCGCUGCCCCGGAAACGGUGAAAAGGUCACGCGAAACUUUGUAAACAAGGCGUUCAGCGCCUUGUUUUUUUU